UACGUAGGGGGGCAAGCGUUGUCCGGAUUUAUUGGGCGUAAAGAGCGUGUAGGCGGCUAGGUAGGUCCGUUGUGAAAACUCGAGGCUCAACCUCGAGACGUCGAUGGAAACCAUCUGGCUAGAGUCCGGAAGAGGAGAGUGGAAUUCCUGGUGUAGCGGUGAAAUGCGCAGAUAUCGGGAGGAACACCUGGAGGCGAAGGCGGGCUACUGGGCCGAUACUGACGCUGAUGCGCGAAAGCCAGGGGGGCAAACGGGG
rnacentral:rRNA from 1 species